rnacentral:rRNA from 1 species
GACGAACGCUGGCGGCGUGCUUAACACAUGCAAUUCGAACGGAAAGGCCCUGCUUUUGUGGGGUGCUCGAGUGGCGAACGGGUGAGUAACACGUGAGUAACCUGCCCUUGACUUUGGGAUAACUUCAGGAAACUGGGGCUAAUACCGGAUAGGAGCUCCUGCUGCAUGGUGGGGGUUGGAAAGUUUCGGCGGUUGGGGAUGGACUCGCGGCUUAUCAGCUUGUUGGUGGGGUAGUGGCUUACCAAGGCUUUGACGGGUAGCCGGCCUGAGAGGGUGACCGGCCACAUUGGGACUGAGAUACGGCCCAGACUCCUACGGGAGGCAGCAGUGGGGAAUAUUGCACAAUGGGCGGAAGCCUGAUGCAGCAACGCCGCGUGCGGGAUGACGGCCUUCGGGUUGUAAACCGCUUUCGCCUGUGACGAAGCGUGAAUGACGGUAAUGGGUAAAGAAGCACCGGCUAACUACGUGCCAGCAGCCGCGGUGAUACGUAGGGUGCGAGCGUUGUCCGGAUUUAUUGGGCGUAAAGGGCUCGUAGGUGGUUGAUCGCGUCGGAAGUGUAAUCUUGGGGCUUAACCCUGAGCGUGCUUUCGAUACGGGUUGACUUGAGGAAGGUAGGGGAGAAUGGAAUUCCUGGUGGAGCGGUGGAAUGCGCAGAUAUCAGGAGGAACACCAGUGGCGAAGGCGGUUCUCUGGGCCUUUCCUGACGCUGAGGAGCGAAAGCGUGGGGAGCGAACAGGCUUAGAUACCCUGGUAGUCCACGCUGUAAACGGUGGGUACUAGGUGUGGGGUCCAUUCCACGGGUUCCGUGCCGUAGCUAACGCUUUAAGUACCCCGCCUGGGGAGUACGGCCGCAAGGCUAAAACUCAAAGGAAUUGACGGGGCCCCGCACAAGCGGCGGAGCAUGCGGAUUAAUUCGAUGCAACGCGUAGAACCUUACCUGGGUUUGACAUGGAUCGGGAGUGCUCAGAGAUGGGUGUGCCUCUUUUGGGGUCGGUUCACAGGUGGUGCAUGCCUGUCGUCAGCUCGUGUCGUGAGAUGUUGGGUUAAGUCCCGCAACGAGCGCAACCCUUGUUCACUGUUGCCAGCACGUUAUGGUGGGGACUCAGUGGAGACCGCCGGGGUCAACUCGGAGGAAGGUGGGGAUGACGUCAAGUCAUCAUGCCCCUUAUGUCCAGGGCUUCACGCAUGCUACAAUGGCUGGUACAGAGAGUGGCGAGCCUGUGAGGGUGAGCGAAUCUCGGAAAGCCGGUCUCAGUUCGGAUUGGGGUCUGCAACUCGACCUCAUGAAGUCGGAGUCGCUAGUAAUCGCAGAUCAGCAACGCUGCGGUGAAUACGUUCCCGGG